UGUUAGAUAUUUUGUCUUUACAGUAUUACCUUUUGGUUUGAGUUCUGCGGGAUACAUUUUCACAAAAACAUUAAGACCUUUAGUAGCACAUUGGAGAGCUUGUUCUUUUCCUAUAAUUAUGUACUUAGACGAUGGUUGGCUAUGCGACACAAAAGAAAAUUGUAUGUAUAUGUCAAACAUCAUUCAGGCGGAUCUAUCGCGCGCAGGUUUUCUUGUUAAUCAAGAUAAAAGUGUAUGGAAACCUUCUCAGAAAUUAGAUUGGCUGGGUUUUGAGUGGGAUAUGUGUCAAGGUGUUAUUAGUAUUCCACUUAACAAAUUAGAAAACCUGCGUGCGAAGAUUUUAAACAUAAAAACAAAAAAGCAUGUUUCAGUCAGGGAUCUAGCGUCUGUUGUCGGCUCGAUAAUUUCUUUCAAGUUUGCUUUAGGUCCAAUAUGUCAAAUGUUUACAAGGCAUCUUUCCAUUGUUAUUGCUCAAAAAGCUUUUUGGGACCAAAUUUUUUGAAAUACCUAAGCCGGCAGCCGACGAGUUAGAAUUUUGGCUUGAAAAUCUUUUGUACGUGCCCAAUAGAGUUAUCUCUCCUUGGUUUCGAAGUCCGGACAGAAUAGUGUUUACUGAUGCGAGCGAUUUCGCCGGAGCGGGCGUAAUGCUUGAUUCAAACAAAGAGUAUUUUCACGCAAUGUGGGACGAUUUUGAAAAAACGCAAAGUUCUACAUACAGAGAAUUAAAAACAGUUUUUCUUUUCAUCAAGACUUUUUUAGUCAUGUUCUGCGCAACAAAUUUGUGAAGUUAUAUUCAGAUAAUCAAAAUGUAAUUAAAAUUGCACAAACAGGUAGCAUGAAAGAUGAAUUGCAAAAAUUAGCUUUUUCUAUUUAUGCCAUGUGUCUUUUGAAUAACAUAGAAUUAUCUGUAGCGUGGAUUCCCAGAGAACACAACAAAGAAGCUGAUUUUUGUAGCAAGUUUUUUGAUUUUGACGAUUGGGGUGUAAAUCAGAGUAUUUUUAAAUAUUUUGAUCAUAUUUGGGGACCAUUCACUUGCGAUACUUUUGCUAGCUCUUUUAAUUUCAAAGUCAAAAAAUUUUAUUCCCAGUUUUGGACGCCAGGUACUAGUGCGGUUGAUGCUUUUGCAUUCGACUGGUCUCAGGAUUUAAGUUGGUUAGUACCUCUGAUACAUUUGAUAAGCAAAUCCAUUAACCAUAUCAUACAUUGCGGUGCUAAGGGUGUUUUAGUAGUGCCUAAAUGGAAAUCUUCUGUUUUUUGGCCAUCUAUUGUUGAUAUUUCAGGAAAAUUUAGAUGGUUUAUUAAGAAAUAUGUUGAGUAUGAAAAACCUGCAAAUUUUUUCAGUGCAGGUUCUGACAGAAAUAGUAUAUUUGCUGCAGAAAGGUUUAAUAGUAAUGUAUUUGUGCUAAAAAUAGAUGCAACGUCGCAUUAGUACUUAGGAUUUUGCAUGUGCACAUGAACAUUAAAAAAAAAAAAAAAAAGAGAGAUGACUGUUUUCUCAUAAUAAUAAUAUGAUGGAUUUAGAACAGAACUUUUACGUGUGGAGGACUGUACUCCCAAAAGAGAUGACUGUUUUCUCUUAUAAUACACUUAGAAUUAUGUAUGGUGGAAUAUAUUCGUAUAAAAAAGAGAUGACUGUUUUCUCUUAUAAUAUACUUAGAAUUAUGUAUGGUGGACCGUAUUUGUAUAAAAGAGAUGACUGUUUUCUCUUUAUAUGUAGAUUUUGAUUAAUCAAUAGAGGAGGACUGUACUCCGAUUUAUGUUGGAUUAUACUGCAGAACUGUCAUGGCCAUUGGUGUGAUGUUUUGAAGUUUAAACAACAUCCUCAACUGGGUGCUCUAGUAGAUUUGUUGCCUCAGGUCGUGAAGUGUGCGAAAUCGGACUCGACAAAUCAAAAAUACGAUUCUUACUUCAGACGAUUUGAGAGUUGGUGUUCACAACAUAAUUUUCAACAUCUUCCAGCUUCUGUGUCCACUGUUUCCUUGUUUCUCGGUAGCGUAAUCCAGCAAAGAGUGUCGUCUUCAGUUUUAGAUGCUUAUUAUUACAGCAUUAAGUGGAUUCAUUCUCAAGCAUCAUGUGUGAAUCCGUGUGAUGAUCAUUUUUUACAGCUCAUUCUUGAAGGCGGAAAAAGAAUUCUUUCAAAACCAGUGAAUAAGAAAGAACCAAUUACUACGGAAAUUCUAAUAAAACUCAAGGAUGAAUACUUUAAGGAAUCGGACAACGCUUUAAAGUUACGAACAUUCCUCAUGUGCCUUUUGGGUUUUUCUGGAUUUCUACGUUAUAGUGAAUUGUCAAACAUUCGUUUGUGUGACAUAAAAUGGAAAGAAGCCUACAUAGAAAUAAAGAUUCCAAAAAGUAAAACUGAUGUGUACAGAAGAGGGAACGUGAUUGUCAUUGCAAAACCUGGGAAUGAUUUGUGUCCGAUUUCUUGGUUAAACAAAUAUAUUGCAUUAUUACAGCUAAGCGUUACUUCAAGUGAUUAUUUGUUUACAAGUAUUAACUUUAAGAAAUCUUUAGGGGUUUACAAGUCUUGUAAUACGUCAAAACCUUUGUCUUACACUAGAGCAAGAGAAAUUUUGUUAUCUGCAUUAAGCAGUAUUGGCCUUGACAGUUCUAAGUAUUCAUUGCAUAGUUUGCGGAGCGGGGGUGCUACCGCUGCUUCUAACAAUAAUGUCCCAGAUAGACUUCUGAAAGCUCAUGGUCGUUGGUCUUCUGAUAAAGCGAAGGAUGGGUAUAUUGAGGACAAUAUUCAGAAAAAGCUUUAUGUGUCUAUGAAUCUGGGUUUGUAGUCAACAUUCCUAAAUCACCUUUGUUUGUUUGCGAUCUUGUAACGAACGCACCUAACCUAAUCUAUUUGUUGUUGUUUUUCAAACUAGUCAAGAAAAGAUUUAUUUUCGGAGGAGUUUACGAGGGAGAAAAUAAAUGAAUUUCUUUACGUUUUUGAGUUUCGUAUUACGGAAAUGUCCGAUCUAUUCAUAGUAAUUUUUGCAUGCACGAGUGAUUUGGCGCUUACUAUAAAUAGUGUUCCAGGCGUGUUUUUGGUCAUUGCGAAGUUCGUUACAAGAUUUCAAGGACAUACAUUUCCCUUCCCAUCCCCGCCCUAAGAACUAUGCAAUGCAUUGUAUUUAAUCAUUAUAUACAUGUACAAUUAUGUUUUUGUCGAUGUUUGUGUCAAUUAAUAUAAAUUGUGUUAUAUAUUAAGUCAUUAAAAGUUGAUUGUUGAUUAUAAAUGCGAUCUUGUAACGAACGCACCUAACCUAA